GAGGGUGUAGCUCAAGUGGUAGAGCACAUGCUUAGCAUGCAUGAGGUCCUGGGUUCAAUCCCCAGUACCUCCU
rfam:Camelus ferus unplaced genomic scaffold scaffold931, whole genome shotgun sequence.